UGAACGCUAGCGGCAGGCCUAAUACAUGCAAGUCAACUGAAGCACCGGUAGUAAUACUGGUGUGGAGGUGGCGCACGGGUGAGUAACACGUAGGUAAUCUGCCUUCAGGUCUGACAUAACCCCGAGAAAUCGGGGCUAAUAGCAGAUGAUGCAGCGGCUUGACAUCAAGACAGUUGUUAAAGCUUCGGCGCCUGAAGAUGAGCCUGCGUCUGAUUAGCUAGUUGGCGGAGUAAUGGCCCACCAAGGCUACGAUCAGUAACUGGUCUGAGAGGAUGAUCAGUCACACUGGAACUGAGACACGGUCCAGACUCCUACGGGAGGCAGCAGUAAGGAAUAUUGCUCAAUGGGAGAAAUCCUGAAGCAGCAACGCCGCGUGAGGGAUGAAGGGCUUUUGCUCGUAAACCUCUGUAGUGAGGGAAAAAAUUUCCACUCUGUGGAAUAUGAUGGUACCUCAAAAGUAAGCCCCGGCUAACUACGUG
rnacentral:rRNA from 1 species